rnacentral:rRNA from 1 species
UACGUAGGGGGCUAGCGUUGUCCGGAUUUAUUGGGCGUAAAGAGCGUGUAGGCGGCCAGGUAGGUCUGGUGUGAAAACUCGAGGCUUAACCUCGAGAUGUCAUCGGAAACCAUCUGGCUAGAGUCCGGAAGAGGAGAGUGGAAUUCCUGGUGUAGCGGUGAAAUGCGCAGAUAUCAGGAAGAACACCGAUGGCGAAGGCAGCUCUCUGGGACGGUACUGACGCUGAGACGCGAAAGCGUGGGGAGCGAACAGG